rnacentral:lncRNA from 1 species
GAAUAAUUUGGGGUUCUUUAGUUGUUGUUUUAAUCAUGUACCGAUAUGUAUAUAAAGUUAUUAGAUAAACUAUGUCUGAUUCAGUUUAUCUCCGUUUCAUUUGAAUGUAUUGCCAGAUAGUUUCAUUGUAUGUAUCUAUAUUCACUGUAUUAUGUUUCAUAAUCUUUUGUAUGUUUGAUAUCGUAUGAGAACCCUAUGAAUAGUUUAGUACUAGCUUGUGAGUUCGUCACUACCCUUUUUGGAUGAUCAGUAAAUCCUCCCCGGAAGUGUAACCAGAGUCUCCUGGAGGGAGAGCGAGGAAUUUGUGAAUAGAUCUAUUCGGGACUGACAAUCCCACACCUUAACUGCUAGCUACAGUUAGGCGGGCACGCCUGGGGUGACAAAUUCUGGAUAUCGUCCGACGUCUGACAAACGUCAAGGAGGUCUCGUUGUCGUAUCAACAUGGUUACCCGACUCACAAUACAUAUUAAUAUAAGUUUAUUCACGACUUUGGUUUUGGAUAUAUAUCUAGUACGGGAUGGUAAUCCCAUGGUUUUUAGUCUAUAGGUUUCAUAUCUAUUGCAGGAUGUUAUUCCUAUGGUUAGAAUCUAUAUCUAGUUCGGGAUAGUGAUCCCAUGGUUUUAUCAAAAUAUCUUAUAUCUAGUUCGGGAUAGUAAUCCCAUGGUUUUAUCAAAAUAUCUUAUAUCUAGUUCGGGAUAGUAAUCCCAUGGUUUUAUCAAACUAUCUUGUAUCUAGUCCGGGAUGAUACUCCCAUGGUAUUAAAUGUAUAUGUAGUACAGGAUGUUAGUCCUAACGUUUUCAAACUACUUUCCAUCUACAAUUCACGUAUAAUUAAAGUAUUUUAUACCUAAUUCGGGGUAGUAAUCCCAUGAUUCUCAAUAUAUAGUUUUGUGUAUUAAAUUAUACUCUGUGAUAUUCAAUCGGUCUUGCAUUUAGGAAAAUAUGGGAUUUUCCUAGGGUAACAUAUAACGCGUAAUUGAACUGUAAUGAAGGAUAUUUAAACUGUUUUACAGAAGAAAAUAUGGGAUUUUUUUGGAUAACAAACCUUUUCGGAAAACUAAAGGAAACUGGUACAUUUUCAGAAAACAAACAUCUUAUGAACUCACCAGCUUUAUGCUAAUUUUCAAACUGCUUGUAUUCUCAGGUCCACGUUAGACAGGUACCCGGUGAUAUCUUUUGGUGAAGACAGAGGGCGCAGAAGACUUGUGUCAUUUUGUUCAUAUAUAUAAUAUGUAUCACUUGUACAAUUUACUUUUGAAACAAAUGUAAACUUUCAAAUAUAUGUAAUGUAAUGGUUGUUUACUUUGAUUAGUAUGUGCAUUGGAUUUGAUACUCAACGUGGAGUCAACCCAGGAAAUGUUUCCGCCUUUGGUUUUCGGGGUAUGACAGAUUGUUAUCAGAGCCCUUGUUUAUAGUGAACGGAGUAUACCAAACCUUACAUGGUAUAAAACUAUAAACAUUAAGGGGCCUAAGUGCUCUGAACUAAAAGUAUCCUUCAAAAUAUAAGUAUUUUCAAAAGUAUACAAGUGUACCGAGCCGUCGAGAUCCGUAACUACAAGUAGAACAAAACAUAAGUAAAUGGGUGUUGUACGCUGCGGUUAAACCUGGGCAGUUAUGUAGUCGUGUCUAGGGUCAAUAUAGCCUGGCCAACUAUAUUCAUUCGAGACACGACCAACAUGUGCUUGGGAGUGACUAUGGUACGCAGCAUACCUAAAACUUACCCAAUGUCCCAAACAACGAGUCGUCAUUGCAGCGAAUCAUGAAAUACUAUGGGAGUAUUUCUUGAACCGAUCCUGUGUAGAAAAUCCUCGUAUACAUGUUGUUCCUUGAUCAUUCCUGUAGCGAUAAAAUUUUCUGCCUUGAUAACUCUUUCCUACUUUAUCGCUUAAUACGGUGCUAUAUCUGUCUUGAUGAGAUAUUCCCUGUUCCAUAUCUCUUGAUUCAAUUCAGAGGACUUAUGAUCCUCUCUUUCCUGAUCUUUUUAGAUCACGAUGCCUCCAAGAAAGAGACCCAGCUCGAAGAACACCAACAACCCUCCGCCACCACCUCCUCCUGAAUUUGACCCUGUGAUGUUCCAGGCAGCUGUCAAUGCCGCGGUGGCAGCUGCUAUGUCUCAAAGGAACUCGGAUGGUUCCGGUGGUACUCAAACCCAAAACCAAGAGAACAGUCAGGGACACCGAAAAGAGGGUUCCUAUAAAGACUUCAUGAACGCGAAACCCACAUCCUUUGAUGGCACCGGAGGUGUCAUUUCCCUCACCCGAUGGUUCGAGAAAAUCGAAUCAAUCUUUGAGAUAUGUGCCUGUUCGGANUGACUUGGUGGAACGGCCGAGUCAAAUCCUUAACGCUACCUGUAGCAAAUGCUAUGGGUUGGGAAGCUAUGAAGGAGCUUCUACUCGCAGAGUAUUACCCUCGGGGUGAAAUUCAGAAGCUAGAACACGAACUCUGGAACCUAAAGAUGAAGGGUUCUGACAUAGCCUCUUAUACUUCAAGGUUCGAUGAUCUGGCGUUACUCUGUCCGGGAAUGGUUACCCCGGAGAGUAAAAAGAUUGAGAGGUUCAUCUGGGGGUUGACCCAGCCAACAAAAGGGAAUGUCUUGGCUGCGAAGCCAAACACCUAUGAUAGCGCUAAAUGUCUUGCGCAAACCCUGAUCGAUCACGAAGACAUCUCUGAUGAGGAGGCUACCACUCCCGAGCCAGUCACAAGUGGAGGUGGAAGUAAAAAGAAAUUCUGGAACAAGCGGAAGGCCCAAAGUACGCAAGGGUCUUCUAAGAAACAGCAAACAGUAGCAGUCCAUGUUGCUAUUGCCCUUGUUGUGGUUUCAGCUGUCGGGUCCACGACCCAAACUCCUACCAGUGGAUACACCGGUACCCUUCCUUGGUGCGGUAAGUGCAGCUACCAUCACCGUAUUCCUGGUCCAUGUCGCGAAAGAAUCUAUGACAAUUGUGGCAAGAAGGGCCACCUUGCUCGAACCUGCAGAAAACCAGCCGAAUCAACAAACCAAUCAUCUGGAACGGGAAUCAGUCUAGCCUGCUACAGUUGUGGUGAAGCAGGGCACUUCAAAAGAAAUUGCCCCAAAGCAGCAACAACUAGCAACACCGAAAGAGUCCUAGCAAUAGGACGAGAGGAGACAACCGUUGAUCGUACUGUCGCCGCAUGUAUACUCCUCUUUGACAACUCUUAUACCUGCAACUCUUUUCGAUUCUUGUACCAGAAGGGAAACCUGUUAUCUAUCUAUUCGAACACCUUUCUAAACUUAACCCUUCGUUUGUAAUCGAAAAUGUGUACCGUCGAGACGGCUAACUAGUGAAAUAAGAGAACGCUAACUUCGUACCUAUAGAUUGUAUUCUCAGUCUGGAGGAUUAUUCUGUUCCAUUCGAUUUAAUGGAAAAACUUUUCAUGAAAUACUUUGAUGCUAUGUUUGACAUGUAAUGACCGAGUCUCAUUCAUGUCGUUAUUCUUGGUUUCGAAAGGGUCGCCCGUCUAGAUCUUUCCCCCGACCCGACUCUCGUGAUCUUCGGCAUCAAACCUUCGUAUCAUUUCGUGCAUCAAAACUCAAAAAGUUUUCCCGAUAUGAAUUGCCAUGCAUCCCUCGUUCCCGUGAUCAUUGGGAAACGGGAAGUCUGCAGCUAAUUUCCCUAAAUUUCUUUCCCGAAGGAUUCCCGAGAAUUCUUUCCGAAUGUCUAGUCUAGUCUCGCACCGGCCUAAUCCCCUGAACUACCUCACCACCAAACCUCAGUAAGAAUGACGUGUCCAAGACGGUGACCAAGAAUUGAUAUGAUCACUACGGGUUAGUAGUGGUACCUUUCGGUCAAAUCAUUUUCCUUGAUCAUGUAGCUAAGCAAAGUAGUCAUACUCGUGAACCUUUCCAAAAGCUAAGAUGAUAGGGAAUUAGUCGGCACCAGAGAUACCCAUAGAAACCUGUCGAUUCUUGGGUCCCAUCGACUAUUAUCGCAGACCUACCCAGAAAAUUUCUUCUAGAACCAUCAGACCCUUAGCUACUCUGCUCUACGAAGAUGUGCCUUCCUGUUGGAGUGUGUGUCCUAUUGAAGGCUUAUUCCCAAAAAAGUAUGAAUGCUUUGGGAAGUGUAAAAUACUUCCCUCGUGAUACAUUAGACCCUUCGCAAUCCUCGUAAAAUCGAUUCCGCAACCAUCAAACUCCGGAUGCCCUUAGAACUUAGUAGCAUUCAUCCGAUACUUCACGUCUCGAAUCCUUAGAAGUAUCUACCCAACGAAACCCUAGUGAUUCCUUUGAGGAGACCGAAGUCAUCAAGGGUUGGAACCUCCAUGGGAGAACCAAUUGAGAUCGAGGAUUGAAAGAGUCAAUGUACGAAACAAAGUCGCGUCCCGAUAUUGAAGGUUCGCUGGAACGCCAAGCGGAGACCCGAUUCCACUUGGGAGCGUGAAGAUCCGAAGCAACAAAUCCAUUCGUAUCUCAUUCCAGUUCAUGAUUUGUAUCUUAAUCUUUGAAUUUCGGGACGAAAUUCCCUCUAACAGGGGGAUAAUGAAAUAACCCGAAAUUGUCCAUCGCCGAAAACCUGUUCUACCCGUAAAAAUUCGUCGUUUAUCAAUUCGUUCCAAUUUCGUUUUGGGUUAAAUUAUUUAAGCUUAUAUGUUUAUUAUAAUCUAAUGAGUCUCCAAAUCCCUUAGGAACUCAUGAAAUUAGCCCAAAAUGUUUAUUUCAUAAAUUUUAGAAACAUCCUCGCCGGAUUACGGAAACUUAAUCGGGUGCGACCAAAAGCCCCGUUUAAUGCCGGUAUCGGGUAGAAUUCCACCGUGUCCAAGAUUUGAGACCUAUAUAAACGUGUUUAAACAUUCAUUUGAAGCUUUUGCUUCCUCUCUCUACUCUCUCUCUCUCUAACCUCUCUCCUGAAACCAAGUUUAAGGGUCCAAAAUCAUCAAAUUUAAGCUCCAAAUCACCAAGGUAACUACCCUAACUCCUAGUAUAACAUCUUAGGCCUUCAAAUUCGAGUUCAAAUCAUGGAAUAGGACCAUAUUCAUGAGUUUACGGCCCUAGAACAGUCCUAGGCCGUGAACUCACAUAAAUUGGGUUUUAGAGCCCAAAAACCCUUCCAAUCGACCUUUAGAGCUUAGAUAUGGAUUAAUGGCUUAAGGGAAUGGACUUGGAAUGCCUUAAACAUGGAUUUUAAAGAGUAAACAUGAGUUUACUACUCAAGAGCAUGCUUGGGCCGUAAACUCAUUAAAAUGAGGGUUUUUAUGCCCUUAAACCCUUCCAAAACUCCAUUGAAGCUUAGAUAUGAAUUUUAGAAUAUUGGAUUUGGCCUUGGAGCACCUUGAACAUUAUUUUAGAGGAGUAAACUUGAGUUUACUGCCCAACAACAUGCUUGGGCCGUAAACUCAUUGUUCAUGGAGAGUAAACUCCUCUAAGUGUGUUAAAAAUGCCACUUUAACACACCUAAAGCCUUAGGAUAAAUUCUAGAAGUGUUUACAAACAAGUAUUGGACCUUAAAACAUAUUAUAACACCCUUCCAAGGAGUUCACGGCCAUGAGGGGGUUCAUGGGCCGUAAACUCCUAAAACCAUGUCAAAAGUCCCUUAAAAAUCCAUUCAAGGCUUGGAAAAAUCAUUAGAAUCACAUGUGAUUGAUUAAAGGACCAAAACAUUAAGGAUCUUGUGUGUGGGGGAGUUUACGGCUGUAAACUCCAAUAAAUGGUCCCUAAGUGGGUUUAAAUUCAUCCCUAUGCCUUAGAUGCAAUCCUAGCUAAAUUAUCCAUGAAUUAUGAAGCCAUUUAGCAUCCAAAAACACCAAUUAUGAAUUCACGGCCGUGAACUCAUGUGGGUGUGGUAUUUAGGGCCAUAAACUCCCUAAGGAGUUUACUCUUGAAGUCCCAAUUCAAUAUCCUAGCUAUAUAUGUCCCCAAAUGUCACUCGGGUCCUUCCAAACACUUGUAAGGGAGUGUUUCCGCAACUAGAAGUGUGUGUCUCUACCAAAUAAAUAAUCUAAGUCCUAAUUAGAUACAAAUAUGUAUCUUUUCAUAAUUCAUAGGAACUUCGUGCAUUUGCAAGCCCCGAACCAACGUUUAGCAUCCGAAAUCGUCACGUUUCUCGUCCGGUGAGUUCAUACCCCUACCUUUUUUAAAUGGUUUUUCAAUGUUUUCAGGGGGGGAAUACAAGCAAACUACAACUGUUUUUAAAACAUAACAUUGAUGUGUUUCAAAUAAUAUCUGGCAAACUUAUAAAUACCUUUACCCCCUUUAUGUAUUAUGCUGAGCAUAAGGGAUGAUUUAUCAACUACAACUAUAUGAAUUUUAGUUAAGGAAUAACCAAACUAAUCAAAUUAUUAUGGGAAUAAUUUGGGGUUCUUUAGUUCUUGUUUUAAUCAUGUACCGAUAUGUAUAUAAAGUUAUUAGAUAAACUAUGUCUGAUUCAGUUUAUCUCCAUUUCAUUUGAAUGUAUUGCCAGAUAGUUUCAUUGUAUGUAUCUAUAUUCACUGUAUUAUGUUUCAUAAUCUUUUGUAUGUUUGAUAUCGUAUGAGAACCCUGUGAAUAGUUUAGUACUAGCUUGUGAGUUCGUCACUACCCUUUUUGGAUGAUCAGUAAAUCCUCCCCGGAAGUGUAACCAAAGUCUCUUGGAGGGAGAGCGAGGAAUUUGUGAAUAGAUCUAUUCGGGAUUGACAAUCCCACACCUUAACUGCUAGCUACAGUUAGGCGGGCACGCCUGGGGUGACAAAUUCUGGAUAUCGUCCGACGUCUGACAAACGUCAAGGAGGUCUCGUUGUCGUAUCAGCAUGGUUACCCGACUCACAAUACAUAUUAAUAUAAGUUUAUUCACGACUUUGGUUUUGGAUAUAUAUCUAGUACGGGAUGGUAAUCCCAUGGUUUUUAGUCUAUAGGUUUCAUAUCUAUUGCAGGAUGUUAUUCCUAUGGUUAGAAUCUAUAUCUAGUUCGGGAUAGUGAUCCCAUGGUUUUAUC